rnacentral:rRNA from 1 species
CAACGGAUCUCUUGGUUCUGGCAUCGAUGAAGAACGCAGCAAAAUGCGAUAAGUAAUGUGAAUUGCAGAAUUCAGUGAAUCAUCGAAUCUUUGAACGCACAUUGCGCCCGCCAGUAUUCUGGCGGGCAUGCCUGUUCGAGCGUCAUUUCAACC